rnacentral:rRNA from 1 species
CGGGGAGCUUGCUCCCUGGUGGCGAGUGGCGAACGGGUGAGUAAUAUAUCGGAACGUGUCCAAUAAUGGGGGAUAACUAGUCGAAAGAUUAGCUAAUACCGCAUACGCCCUGAGGGGGAAAGUGGGGGAUCUUCGGACCUCACGUUAAUGGAGCGGCCGAUAUCUGAUUAGCUAGUUGGUGGGGUAAAAGCCUACCAAGGCGACGAUCAGUAGCUGGUCUGAGAGGAUGAUCAGCCACACUGGGACUGAGACACGGCCCAGACUCCUACGGGAGGCAGCAGUGGGGAAUUUUGGACAAUGGGCGAAAGCCUGAUCCAGCCAUGCCGCGUGAGUGAAGAAGGCCUUCGGGUUGUAAAGCUCUUUCGCAAGGAAAGAAAACUUAUCUACUAAUACUAGAUGAGGAUGACGGUACCUUGAUAAGAAGCACCGGCUAACUACGUGCCAGCAGCCGCGGUAAUACGUAGGGUGCGAGCGUUAAUCGGAAUUACUGGGCGUAAAGCGAGCGCAGGCGGUUUUGCAAGUCAGAUGUGAAAGCCCCGGGCUCAACCUGGGAACUGCGUUUGAAACUGCAAGGCUAGAGUAUAGGAGAGGGAGGUAGAAUUCCACGUGUAGCAGUGAAAUGCGUAGAGAUGUGGAGGAAUACCAAUGGCGAAAGCAGCCUCCUGGCCUAAUACUGACGCUCAUGCUCGAAAGCGUGGGGAGCAAACAGGAUUAGAUAC